GAUCCCAUCCCGAACUCAGAAGUGAAACGCGCAUGCGCCGAUGGUAGUGUGGCUUGGCCAUGCAAGAGUAGGUCACCGCCAGGG
rnacentral:rRNA from 1 species